CGAACGCUGGCGGCGUGCCUAAUACAUGCAAGUAGAACGCUGAAGAGAGGAGCUUGCUCUUCUUGGAUGAGUUGCGAACGGGUGAGUAACGCGUAGGUAACCUGCCUUGUAGCGGGGGAUAACUAUUGGAAACGAUAGCUAAUACCGCAUAACAAUGGAUGACACAUGUCAUUUAUUUGAAAGGGGCAAUUGCUCCACUACAAGAUGGACCUGCGUUGUAUUAGCUAGUAGGUGAGGUAAUGGCUCACCUAGGCGACGAUACAUAGCCGACCUGAGAGGGUGAUCGGCCACACUGGGACUGAGACACGGCCCAGACUCCUACGGGAGGCAGCAGUAGGGAAUCUUCGGCAAUGGGGGCAACCCUGACCGAGCAACGCCGCGUGAGUGAAGAAGGUUUUCGGAUCGUAAAGCUCUGUUGUAAGUCAAGAACGGGUGUGAGAGUGGAAAGUUCACACUGUGACGGUAGCUUACCAGAAAGGGACGGCUAACUACGUGCCAGCAGCCGCGGUAAUACGUAGGUCCCGAGCGUUGUCCGGAUUUAUUGGGCGUAAAGCGAGCGCAGGCGGUUUGAUAAGUCUGAAGUUAAAGGCUGUGGCUCAACCAUAGUUCGCUUUGGAAACUGUCAAACUUGAGUGCAGAAGGGGAGAGUGGAAUUCCAUGUGUAGCGGUGAAAUGCGUAGAUAUAUGGAGGAACACCGGUGGCGAAAGCGGCUCUCUGGUCUGUAACUGACGCUGAGGCUCGAAAGCGUGGGGAGCGAACAGGAUUAGAUACCCUGGUAGUCCACGCCGUAAACGAUGAGUGCUAGGUGUUGGAUCCUUUCCGGGAUUCAGUGCCGCAGCUAACGCAUUAAGCACUCCGCCUGGGGAGUACGACCGCAAGGUUGAAACUCAAAGGAAUUGACGGGGGCCCGCACAAGCGGUGGAGCAUGUGGUUUAAUUCGAAGCAACGCGAAGAACCUUACCAGGUCUUGACAUCCCGAUGCUAUUUCUAGAGAUAGAAAGUUACUUCGGUACAUCGGUGACAGGUGGUGCAUGGUUGUCGUCAGCUCGUGUCGUGAGAUGUUGGGUUAAGUCCCGCAACGAGCGCAACCCCUAUUGUUAGUUGCCAUCAUUCAGUUGGGCACUCUAGCGAGACUGCCGGUAAUAAACCGGAGGAAGGUGGGGAUGACGUCAAAUCAUCAUGCCCCUUAUGACCUGGGCUACACACGUGCUACAAUGGUUGGUACAACGAGUUGCGAGUCGGUGACGGCGAGCUAAUCUCUUAAAGCCAAUCUCAGUUCGGAUUGUAGGCUGCAACUCGCCUACAUGAAGUCGGAAUCGCUAGUAAUCGCGGAUCAGCACGCCGCGGUGAAUACGUUCCCGGGCCU
rnacentral:rRNA from 1 species